rnacentral:rRNA from 1 species
AUUGAACGCUGGCGGCAGGCUUAACACAUGCAAGUCGAGCGGAGAUGAGGUGCUUGCACCUUAUCUUAGCGGCGGACGGGUGAGUAAUGCUUAGGAAUCUGCCUAUUAGUGGGGGACAACAUUCCGAAAGGAAUGCUAAUACCGCAUACGUCCUACGGGAGAAAGCAGGGGAUCUUCGGACCUUGCGCUAAUAGAUGAGCCUAAGUCGGAUUAGCUAGUUGGUGGGGUAAAGGCCUACCAAGGCGACGAUCUGUAGCGGGUCUGCGAGGAUGAUCCGCCAAACUGGGACUGAGACACGGCCCAGACUCCUACGGGAGGCAGCAGUGGGGAAGAUUGGACAAUGGGGGGAACCCUGAUCCAGGCAUGCCGCGUGUGUGAAGAAGGCCUUAUGGUUGUAAAGCACUUUAAGCGAGGAGGAGGCUACUGAGACUAAUACUCUUGGAUAGUGGACGUUACUCGCAGAAUAAGCACCGGCUAACUCUGUGCCAGCCGCCGCGGUAACAC